AACUUAAUGGCUAUUUUUAUUUGAAGUGGACUACUGAAAUGUCAAAGUCUUCUGGAAUGCUGUUUACACUUCACAUCAGUUUAAUAAAGGUUGUUAAAAAACUGAGAUGAUUGCCAAACUCCCUGAACUGCUACGUGAUCUGUGAAUCUAAUCUAUAAAAUGUAAAUAACAAUUACUUAAAGAACGAGUAUGUUUUUAACUUUUAGAUGUGAUGAUUUUGAUGAAUGAUUUUGUGUCAAAUCAA